GAUAUUUUGUGCUGGGGGUUUUGUGUCUCUGCUGUCGGCGUCGUUCGUGUGCUUCUGCUCAGUUUCCUCAGGUUGGUUCCUGUGAUGUGGCGUUUCAGCAGAAAGACACCAGACGGGCUGAGUGGGCGAGUUCUGGCUCCAGCAGGUCCAUCUGAGCUGGCUCUGACGCCUUCCUCGUUGGGGCCUUUAAUCUUAAAGCCGUUGGCAGAGGCCUCCCACACACGCACCUGGACCCAGAACCGGCGCCGUCGGCCCAGAGGCCCCGGACCUCCAGAGACGGAGCUAUUUGUGCUGCGCCCCAGUUCAUCCAGCAGCAGCCUGACGAGCCGGGUCCGGACCCUGUGCUUCAUCACUUUCUGUCUCUGCUAAAAACAACAGCGAUGCAGAGGAACCAAAUAUUUCACUGUGGUGCUUUGAACGUGACAGACCUCCUCCAUGGAUCCACCUGCUCCUCUGCUUGCUGAGACUGCGGAUGCGCUGUGAUCGGUCACACACAGCUCAGAUCUUCUCUCAUUAAGUGCUGUGAAACCUGGCAGCUGCAGCCGCUGACUCCGGGAUCUCGGCCUCAAUGUCUCAUGAACCAGAGCCUCUCGACGCGCCAACAGAAGCAGGUCGGCGCCGGGUCCCACCGGGCCGCGGACCCCCCACCUCGGUGGGUGGACCCGCCUCCACGGGCUCUGCUGUGGUGACAGAUGAGGAGACGCCGGUCAGAACAACGACCUGUGGCUCCUCCGCUCAAAGAGGCUUCAGUUCCAUCAUGAGGAGGAAUCUCUGCUCAGAGAAUGACGCCGAACAUGAAAGGCUCCUCAGCGCGUCUGUGGAGCUUCCUGUCGACUUCGGCGCCCUGCAGGGGGCAGCGUUGGGCAGAGGAUGGAGCCCAGCGGACUCUGGAUCCACCGAUGGUCCCUGAGCCGGUCUGUGGUCCUGAGGUCCUGAACAUCAUCACCAUGAAGAGGAUGAAGGAGAGGCAGAGCACAACAAACCAGGAAGUUCAAAUGAACACAGACCAAGAUGAAGAGUUCAAAAAGAGAGGAGCAGCGUGAAGGUCUCAGCAGAACAAUGACCUCGGCUCAUUAUGAGUCUGACGAAUCUACAGGAGGUCUAUAAAGAAGUGAAGCCAUAGCUUGUGCUUGUUGCUGCCUGUGAAGCCUCCUCUGAGUCCAUCGGUGUGUGUUGAGUCUGACGUGAACAUUAAAGAGCUCGAUUAGUGACGAUCGCUUGUUUUAGAGACAAGUUGAUCAGCGCGUUGCUGCUUUUCUUAACAGCAGAAUAAAGAGGUUCUGAUCACGUGAUCCAGGUUCUGGUGAAAGGGAUGAUGACAGUUGUUCCUCAGUAGCUUUAAACACAACAACACAGGCGUCUGUCUGUCUGUUAGCGGAGGAAUCUGCAGAAAAUAGACGAGGUCUGAUGUCAAACCCUGAGCAGCCUGGUCCCUGACACCUGUGGACCGGAGCCGGCCUGAGCUGGGACCACCUACAGGUUCUGUCCCUGGAGCUACCGCUCCGUCUGAGCAGGAGCGAGGAGGAAGCGAUCGGCGGUCACUGUGUUUGAUUCUGCUAAAGUGAAGCUUUUAGAGCCUCUUCAUCUCAGAACCUGCUGCUGAGUGGGUGAAACGUCUUUAAAGUGGUUUCACAGGAUCAGAGCUUCCAUCCCAGCGAGAGCGGCUCCUGUUAUUUUUAAACUCCAGAGGUUACAUGGCUCCAUAAAUCACAUGGCCCUCUGUGUCCGAAGGUUCUGGCUCAGCCCGGCUGCCUGUCCGGGCUGGAUUUAUGAGCCCAGCUCGUCCUGCUCUGGACGCUGCCGCUCUCCUGUGCACUUGUCUACAUAUUUAGAAAGCGUGUGGGGUGAGAGCGGCUGCAGGGACCGCACGCUCCAGCCGGGCCCCCCCAGGUUCCCUCCCGGGUCGAACCCAGGGACCCGGGAGGGCCCGGGCCCCACAUUCAACCUGAGGCACUGGAGCCUGGACCCACUGUCACAUUCAUCUGGUGAAACUAGCUUUGGCAGCUUGGGAGGGGGAGACGCCACCUGAGGGGGACCGGGCCCUGAGAUCCAACACUGAAACAGCAGUAGAAGCAGAUUGGAGGGAACACGUUCCGUCUGCCAAGCGUUGGAAGACGCACCUUCCCUGCACCCAGCGUCUGGCAGCGGAUCCUCGGUCACGUCAUCACCAGGCCCACAGUGAGCUCCAUUCACUGUGCUGUAUGUGAGGGUCCAAACAGGCCCGUGAGACGGGUUCCUCCUUCCAGUCAAACCCUCACAGAACCAGACAAACUCAAACUUUGUAGUGCUGUUACAGCUGAUCUGCCUCGUAGUCGGACGUUCUCUCUCUGACGGAGCAGGAAGCAGAGCGUCAGUCAGUCGAAUCACACACGGCGGCAGAUAUGAAACAUGAUUAAUAAGGAGGUCAAAGCUCAGCUACCACAGACAGAUUCACUGAUCUACAGCUUAGGAACAAGGUGGCGUCAGACUGAAGCUUCCUCUUUUCCGUUGCAUUUUGGACACUUCCUGUAGAAUCAGCUUCACCUCCCUGUUUGACGCGGGGAAGGUUCUGUCCUCCCUCCAGGAAUGCGGCUCCGUUUCAGCCACGAGGGUCUGAGUGCGGGACUUUGAAGUUCCUGCUGUGGAAACAGGGCCAGGAAUCACCUGCCAUAAAGUCGAGUGCGUAAGCGCCGAGCUAUUUGUUCUGGUGCCUGGGUGGUUACGGGCCUCCAGGGAGGCUGGGCCGGGCCCCUGUGAGAUCACAUGGGGCGGAGGUGGAACUAAUGGGCCCAUGUGUUCACAGACACUUCUAAGAACCAGAUGCGGUUGAUCAAGUUUUUCACAGCAGCUUCCCUGGGGAGAAGAGAACGGGACGGGUCGAACUUCACACGCACCCGGUUGGUUCUGACAGCAACGCUCUCUAUUACUCAGUCGAGUCUCCAUGGACGUGAUGAAGGGAUUCAUACUCACAUCUGUCUCCAUGUGAUCGGCGGCCCCAGUAAAAGUCAGGCCCAGGCCGAGGCGCAGAGCUUGUCCUGACCCCGGGAUAGGACCGGGUAAUGGUUACCAUCUUCACCUGAGGGACUCUCCCUGCAUCUGCUUCAGCCCCAUCGUCCACAUGAGCUCAUCUGUUGGUUUAAACACUGCGAGUCCAAUUAGUGAACUUUAACCCAAUCAGACUGGCAAGUCCAACUUAAUGUCUGACAGCUGUCCAACACCUCUGGAUGCUGGACAGACAGACAAACGGAUGGAUGGACAGACAUACGGACAGAGACUGACGGAUGGACAGACAUACAGACAGAGACGGAUUGAAGGACAGACAGACAGAAGGAAGGACAGACAGAGACUGACGGAAGGACAGACAGACACAGAGAUGGAAACAGAGACGUAAGGAUGGACAGACAUACAGACACAGGGCCAGAAACAGAGACGUAAGGAUGGACAGACAUACAGACAGAGACGGACGGAAGGACAGCUAGACAGACGGACCGAUCGAUGGACGGACAGACAGACAGACACAGAGACGAAAACAAAGACGUAAGGAUGAACAGACAUGAAGACAGAGACGUAUGAUGGACAGACAUACAGACAGAGACGGACGGAAGGACAGAUAGACAGACAGAUACAAAGACGUAAGGACGGACAGACAUACAGACAGACAAAACAGAGACAUAUGAUGGACAGACAUACAGACAGAGACGGAUGGAAGGACAGAUAGACAGACGGACCAACGGAUGGAUGGACAGACAUACAGACAGAGACGGACGGAUGGACAGACAUACAGACAGAGACGGACGGAAGGACAGACAGACAGAGACGGACGGAAGGACAGACAGACAGAGACGGAAGGAAGGACAGACAGACAGAGACGGAACGACAGGCAGACACAGAGAUGGAAACAGAGACGUAAGGAUGGACAGACAUACAGACACAGGGCCAGAAACAGAGACGUAAGGAUGAACAGACAUACAGACAGAGACGGACGGAAGGACAGCUAGACAGACGGACCGAUGGAUGGACAGACAGACAGACAGACACAGAGACGAAAACAAAGACGUAAGGAUGAACAGACAUGAAGACAGAGACGUAUGAUGGACAGACAUACAGACAGAGACUGACGGAAGGACAGAAAGACAUACAGACCGACGGAUGGAUGGACAGACAUACAGACAGAGACGGAUGGAAGGACAGAAAGACAUACAGACCGACGGAUGGAUGGACAGACAUACAGACAGAGACGGACGGAAGGACAGAAAGACAGACGGACCGACGGAUGGAUGGACAGACAUACAGACAGAGAGGGACAGACACAGAGACGGAUACGAAGACGUAAGGAUGGACAGACAGAGACGAAACAGAGACAUAUGAUGGACAGACAUACAGACAGAGACGGAAGGACAGACAGACAGAGACGGACGGAAGGACAGACAUACAGACGGACGGAUGGACACAGAGACGGACGGAAGGACAGAUAGAUAGACAGACAGACGAACGGAUGGAGGGGUGGACAGACAUACAGUCAUACAGACAGAAACAGAGACGGACGGACAGAUAGACAGACGAACGGACGGAUGGACGGACAAAGACACAGACAGAUGAGGGAAACAGGAAGCAGCAUCAAAAUAAAACGUGGCUGAUGGUGGAGCCCCUCAUCACCACGGCGGUGGGUCAGAACCUCUGGCUCCAGCAGCUGGAUGAGCCAGAGCCCGAUGGACAUGGAGCAAUGAAAACACAGCCCAAAGCCUUAAACCUGCAGCCUUUACGUGUCCACGUGCGUCUGAACUGAUGGUUCUGUUCUGCUGAGGUUUGCAGAUUUCACUUCAUCGCUUUCGUGUGAGGACACGUGGCCCUGAAUUGCUCACAGCAACGUGAUUUACUGCCAACACAGGAGCCCUUCGCUCCGACGUCAGUGCUGUGAGGUCUAAGCGCUUCGCUAGCUGAUGGCUAAAGCAGCCGGCGCCGUAAAACACGCGGCUCGUUGAAGUGGAUCCAACAGAUCCGGGUCAUUUAGUCGCAUUUUCAUUGACGUACUGUCAAAGAACCAAUAUUAAUCCCACUGUCCUGAUCUUCUAACUAGUGGAGCGUUUAAAAUGCAACCACCUGCACAAACAGGGUUCUACACUAAAUCUCAGCGCAAGCCAGCGCUUCGCUGUAUUUCUGCCCCGACCCAGAACUGUCCGGUACCUUCUCCGCGCUCCACGAAGGGAAGGCGAGUGUUUGUGCGACGUGGGAGCGAGCGGAGCUGGCAGCGCUCGUCUUGUUUGCUCAGUAAACCUCGGAGGCCUGUGUUCUUUCCUUGAGGGAAAUGCCCACAUUGUUGGGCCCGGAGGCCGUGGUUACGGGCCGGCCGGGCCCAGCCAGGCAGGUUGGGACAACAACGAGAUGAAGGUCAGCUCAUAUAGCAGCUAAUUCCACUUCCUGGUCCCCACGACACCCAGGCAGCGUUUAUUUGAAGAUCCCAGACCCUGAAGUCACUCUGCACUUUGUUCAGUCCGUGAGGAACUUCGGUCGGAGCCAAGACUCCAGUUAUUAACGUUUUGUGAUGAGAAGGAGAGAAAAGGUGGGAAGACGCCACGUCACACCUCUUCAAACCUUCUUUAUGGUAAAAAAUCACUUAGAUGCAUGAGGACCUGUUUUAAGAUGGUGGCUCGUAAACGGCCUAUUAACGCCUCAGACUCUUAAACGAGGUGAAUCAACCGAUCCGUCCGUCAACGGCUGCUCUGUGUGAAAUGUAAAUCAUUUCACUUUCACAUUUAAAAACAACAACAUUCCAGCAGGAAUGUCAAGCUGAGCUAGAAGUCAGCUCCGACGGCUCAUUAGGACGUGAAGGACCCUCGUCCACUCACAUCCAUUAAAACGAGCUGGUUUAUGCCCUGAUUGUCUUCACCAUCAUUUAACCUUGAGAAAGCAGGAGGGGGUGAAAAUAUAGCACAGAGCAUCUAAAAGCCAAGUGGCCUAAUCCUGCAUGCACAUGGAAAUGAGAGACGAGUGGAGAAGCUGUGCCAGCGUGGAUGGAGGCCUCUCCAGUGGCUUCUCUAGGAAGACGAGAGUCUUUGUGUCCGGGGCAGAAAAACGCAGCUUUUGAUGGAGGGGACGUGAAAGGCCCUCAGGGUUUGAGGCCGUGGACGUGUUGGUGCAUGUGCUUAGUGAUGUGGCCUCUUAUCAAGCACCUCUUUAAGGUCAGCAGAAUCAGUGAGUGGAGCCAGGAGGGCCAAGGAGGCAAGGAAGAAGCAGAGGAGCUCACCUGGACACAGACGCAGAUUAAAGACUUUCAGCCCCGACUCGACGCUAUGCCCCAGGUUUUAAUUCAUCCACGUAGACAUGUGGCACCUGCCAGGAUGCCUUAAGCAGGCAGAGCGUGAGUGGCCAUGGCCCAGAACGCGACAGGGAACGGACUUUAGAGCUUUCGCUUCUUAUGAAUGGAGAAGCUGAGUUUCCUCCUGUUCCCAAACAAUUAAUCCACCUAAGCAGCAGCAGCAGCCUCUCGCUCGAAACUGUACCUGUUGAUGGUUAACACCUGUCAUAGCCUGGACCUAAUUAUGGUCUAACGCCUGUGCUAAUUAAAUUGUUAAUGAAAAGUUUGAAUUACAGCUGUUUGUGCUACUGACAAGGCCUGAAUGGGUUCAAUGAGGCAGAAGAAAUAAUAAACCUGAGUCAGAGGAAUCAGGGGAUUCUGAUCUGGAAGAGCUUUAGUGGUGAACAUAGUAUUACUGGAAAAGCAGGGUCAAAACCAGCUUUCAGUUAGCUUUAUCUGAAAGGAAACGUCUCAAACCUGUAAUUGUAAAACAGGUGACAAGGUUUUCUUCAUCAAAAUAUUGCAGGUUGUCUGUGAAAUAGUAACUAGAGGAAGCUUUUAAAUUCAAAGCCUGAGAACAUGGGUCCACAUGGAACCGGAACCUUGUUUCCGGUUUCAGAUGUUCUGUAA